UUAGAUCACCGAAGUUAAGUAUCAUUGGGCGCGGUCAGUACUUGGGUGGGUGACCACCUGGGAACACUGCGUGCCGUU